GUACGCGGCAUCGACUCUGUCGUUGCCGAUGCUACCGGAAAGAUGACCAAACUUGAUCAUUUAGAGGAAGUAAAAGUCGUAACAAUGUUUCCGUAGGUCAACCUGCGGAAGGUUCAUUA
rnacentral:rRNA from 1 species